rnacentral:tRNA from 1 species
GGCCCUGUAGCUCAGGGGUUAGAGCACUGGUCUCGUAAACCAGGGGUCGUGAGUUCAAAUCUCACUAGGGCCU